AAAAAGAGAUGAAAAAGCAAAAAAAAAAGUAUCUUCUUCUACGUUUCCCUGUUUACUCAGUGUUUUUUUUU
rnacentral:ribozyme from 12 species